rnacentral:snoRNA from 1 species
UGUGCACACUAGUUGGAUCUUGGAGUUGAGGUCACCAGGUGACCUGUGAGUGUUCAAAGUGUAGUGAGUAUACUACACAAGGGGCCAGUUUUCACUAACAAUCCAUCCUGAUCCAGUGAAGAGAAGCUUGGGAGUGACCCUGGCAACAAGC